rnacentral:piRNA from 1 species
UCAAUCGUAUGGAAACUUCAC